rnacentral:rRNA from 1 species
AUGUUCUACUCGCAGUUCAUCUUGGCCAAGAAGGGCCCGCUCGGGACCAUAUGGAUCGCCGCGCACUUGGAGCGCAAGCUCCGCAAGAACCAGGUCACGGACACGGACAUCGGCGUCUCCGUAGAUUCAAUUAUAUUCCCUGAGGUUCCAAUUGCGCUGCGGUUAUCCAGUCAUCUUAUGGUAGGCGUGGUCAGAAUCUAUUCUCGGAAGGUCAACUACCUAUUUCAUGAUUGCAGUGAAGCCUUGCUCAAGAUAAAACAAGCAUUUAGGUCUGCUGCUGUUGAUCUCCCCCCUGAAGAAUCAACUGCUCCAUAUCAUUCUAUAACACUCCCUGAGACAUUCCAUCUUGAUGAUUUUGAGUUACCGGAGGCUGAGUUUCAGGGGGACAUUGAUCAUCAUGUAAGCUCAAAAGAACAGAUUACCCUGCAAGACAACCCAGAGAGAACAGGAUAUUCAACAUCUGAAUUUGGUUUAGAUGAAAGAUUUGGUGAUGGCAGUUCUUCACAUAUGGGUUUUGAUUUGGAGGAGGAAUUAUUGCUGGCGAAGGAUGAUCCAAUUCAACUCGAAUCUGGUGAUGGUAUCCUCAUUCAAGGUCAAUCAUCACUUCAUCCUACUGAUAUGGAUGUUGACGAUAACCCAAGUAAAGAUGAAGAGGCUGAAGCAUAUAACAAAAUGGAUGAUGAACCUUCUAGUUCCAGCAAGCAAAAUCAAUCGAAUGCAGAUGAUUUAAGAAACAAUAUUCCUAACUGGACUGGUUACAAUUUGCGUACCCCUGAUUUGAAUGAUAUGCUUUUCCACAAUGAAGGUGACGCGGGGCCAUCUUCUUCAUACUAUCAGCCUAGUCCCUUCCCUUGUGAUGAUCCUGCAUCUCCUGCCUCUCCUGCCUCUCCUGAGUUUGUAAGCGCUCAAGCCCCAGCUACACCUGGCUUAAUGGAAGAAACAGUUCCUUCCAGAGUGCAUGAAAGUCCUGUUCUGAGUCCGCAACGGAAAGCUUCACCAUCAAGCAACGAGGAAACUGCAAAGAUUGACAAUUUUGCUGCUCCGCCCUCAGAUUUUGUCCAUUCAGCCGCAGCAAAUGAUGUUGGGAUGGUUGAAUUUGGAUUGACUAAGCCUGUGCAAGUUGAGUCUUCUGGUGCCGCACAGGAGAAUUCUGCCGCUCCAUCCUUAGAUUUUCUCCAUUCAGCUACAGCUACAGCUAAUGCUAAUGAUGCUGUUGGUGCUGAGAUGGCUGAGUUUAGCUUGGUUAAGCCUGUGCAAGUUGAGUCUUCCGGUGCAGCACAGGAGAAUCUUGCCGCUCCAUCCUCAGAUCCUUUCCAUUCAGCUGCAGCAAAUGCUAAUGAUGCUGUUAGUGCUGAGUUUGCUGAAUUUGGAUUGGCUAAGCCUGUGCAAGUUGAAUCAUCUGGUGCUGUAGCUCCACCCUUGGAUUUUCUCCAUUCAGCUGCAGUAAAUGCUAAUGAUGCUGUUGGUGCUGAGAUGUCUGCAUAUAGAUUGACUAAUCCUGUGCAAGUUGAGUCUUCCGGUGCACCCUCAGAUUUUCUCCAUUCAGCUACAGCUAAUGCUAAUGAUGCUGUUGGUGCUGUACAAGAGAAUUUUGCUGCUCCACCCUCAGAUUUUUUCCAUCCAGGUGCAGCACAUGCUAAUGAUACUGCACAUGCUGAUGAUACUGUUGGUCCUGAGAUGACUGAAUUUAGAUUGGCUAAUCCUGUGCAAGUUGAGUCUUCUGGUGCUGUACAUCAUAAUUUUGCUGCUCCACCGUUAGAUUUUCUCCAUCCAGGUGCAGCACAUGCUAAUGAUGCUGUUGGUGCUGGGAUGGCUGAAUUUAGAUUGGCUGAGCCGGUGCAAGUUGAGUCUUCUGGUGCUGUGCGGGAGAUGGAUUUUCUGAGGCAACACUCUGCAACUGUGGAUAUGCCACCAGAACCACAAACAUCAAAGGCUACUGUUGAUAAGUUGGUGGUAAAUACUGAGGAUAUAGCUGUAUCAGGUAAAACACUGCCUUUUAAAGCAACCAUGGGAAGUGUGCCAUUUGUUCAGAAUACUUCGGAGCCACGCACUAAUGGUUCUACCGAGACAUACGUGACAGGGAAUCAAACACAUUUUAAUGAGGGGUCAGUAAACAUGCAAGGGUAUAAUUUUCUUGCUUCUAAUGUAUCUGUAGAGCCAUACCCUGGUGGUUCUACCGAGCCAUGGGUGACAGGGCAACAACAACAAAGCUUCUUGUCCCAAGCAAGUUGGGGUAGGCCUAGUGGUUCUACCGAGCCACGCGUGACAGGGCAUCCAACACAUUUUAAUGAGGGAUCAGUAAAUGUGCAAGGGUAUAAUCUGCAUGCUCCUAAUGUGUUUCUCGGACAUAACUUACAAGAAAUACCACCAGGAAUGACACACAGUAAUAUAUCAACUGCUGCUUUCCAACAGAACACUGGAACAAUACCGCAAUACAUGUCAUAUAAUGAUAGACCAAAUGACAUGUUCACCUCAAAUUUCCCAGAACGCGAGAGAAUGCUCUCAGCUCCAUAUAUUGGAUUCCACCAGACAAAUGACUUGGGGCAGUUAACUGCAGAGAAAGGAAUCACUGAAUCUGAUGGAAGUAACAAAAUAGGUAGCCUUAGUAGCAGAAAACGUCACUUGGAGGAUAGCAUGCCAGCUCCAGAGAGUAGGACUACUGAAAAUUUGUCCAGCACACCAGAUGGUCAAAGAACCACUGAUGCUAUUCCUAACGAUGAUGAUAUACUGGCAUCCAUUUUAGUUGGUAGAAGAACCCCUGGAUUGGUGCUUGAUUCAACUCCAUUACCACCUAAUGCAUCAACUUCAAAACGCCAAAGGUUGACACCGAAGACCGCAUUGACACCCAAGACCAGGACACCCAAGAGAAGAGUGAAAAUGGAUGAUGCCAUGGUUAUACAUGCUGAUAUUAUACGGCAGCAGUUGAUUAGUACCGAGGAUAUAAGGCGCAUCCGUAGAAAGGCUCCAUGCACCCGUACUGAAAUAUGGAUGAUCGAGAAAGGUUCACUUGAAGAUGAUAUAUUCCGCGAGCCUAUAUUUUCCUGUAUGCACAAGGACCUGAACGGUUUACACUAUCGAACCUAUGAGUCUGUUUCUCAAUUCACCGUACAUAACAGGGAACCGCAAGGACAAGUAGACAUGUCUGAAACUAUCCGAGCAGAUUACAGCAAUGCUGGCAUCUCUGGUGCAGAGGAAAGUGCAGCUCAUGAUCACCAACUUCAUAUGGUGCUACCAGAUACCAACAAUGUUGACAUCUCUGGUGCAAAGGACAGUGCAGCUCUUCAUCACGAACUGAAUAUGGGACUACCAGAUGGAGCUCACAACGUUGGCAUCUCUGGUGCAAAUGACAGUGCAGCUCUUGAUCACCAACUAAAUAUGGGACUACCAGAUGGAGCUCACAACGUUGGCAUCUCUGGUGCAAAGGACAGUGCAGCUCUUCAUCACGAACUGAAUAUGGGACUACCAGAUGGAGCUCACAACGUUGGCAUCUCUGGUGCAAAUGACAGUGCAGCUCUUGAUCACCAACUAAAUAUGGGACUACCAGAUGGAGCUCACAACGUUGGUAUCUCUGGUGCAAAUGACACUGCAGCUCUUGAUCUGGGACUACCAGAUGGAGCUCACAACGCUGGCAUCUCUGGUGCAAAUGACAGUGCAGCUCUUGAUCACCAACUUCAUAUGGGACUACCAGAUGGUGCUCAAUUAGAUGCUACACCACAAGAAGCAACUGAUGCAGUUGAUGCUACAGCUGCAUUUGGUUUGCAAAUGCCAUCUGAUGAACGUGAUAACAACAUUGAAAAAGUAACUGAGUUUGGUGACGGGAAAGAAAUCCCACUUGUUGACGAAACAAAUGCUGCUGCAAACAUUACUGCUCAUGUUGAUACACUGGAUAAGGAUUGCCAUCAAGAUGCUUCAGCAGAUAUGCAGAGGAAUACAAAUGCUGAUACACCUCUCUUUGUGCAAGAUGACAUAACCCAUGAUUCUGCUACUAUAACAGAUGCUCCAGAUGUUGCUUUGCAUAGUUCUGGUCCAGCUUGUGCGCAAGCAGUGGACGCCCGGGAAGGGGAAUUGAGUGACAUUGUUCGCAGUGAUAUUAAUACUUUUGAGGAUAAGGAGAUGCCCACUUCUGAGGUUACUGGACUGGAAUUCACUGAACAUGCCUCUGGUUUUCCUCAACCAACAGAGGAUGAGAAUGCUGUGUCGGCGAUGGGAGAAAAUUCUGGCUUGCAAGGAAACAAUGCAGGAUCCUUCACGGACAUGGACAACAUGGGGCAUGACUUCACGGACAUGGACCACACUGGGCAUGACUUUGCACUUAAGGAAUGCAGUGAUUUUGGAAGUGCAAUUCAUGGUGUUGACGCAGAUUUUCUACCCUAUGAUGAUGAUGGGGACUUUGAUGAGGCAAUUGAUCUCGAUGAUGAUGACGAUGAGCCAAAUCCUGACGAAUUCCAGUCUCAUGAUGCACUUAGUGGCUGGUCUUCUCGUACCAAGGGUGUUGCAAGAUAUCUCAAGACUCUGUUCGAUGAAGAGUCUGGUCGGGGGAGAAAGAAUGUUGUCAUUGAUCAUCUGGUAAAUGGAAAGUCUCGGAAAGAAGCCUCAAGGAUGUUCUUCGAGACCUUGGUCCUGUCGACGAAGGACUACAUUCAGGUGGAGCAACCAAUUCCCUUUGGUUUAAUAAACGUGAAGCCAGUAUCCAAGCUCCUGAAGACAGAUUUCUAG